AAGUCGUAACAAGGUCUCCGUUGGUGAACCAGCGGAGGGAUCAUUACUGAGUUUCUAACAACUCCAACCCUUUGUCGAACCUACCACUGUUUCCUCGGCGUACUGCCGCGGCCUCUGGGCCGCUGCAGCGCCGGAAGGACCGUACCAAACUCUUUUAUUUCUCCCCAGUAAAACUCAUAUAAAAUUUAUUAUGAAAUAAGUUAAAACUUUCAACAACGGAUCUCUUGGUUCUGGCAUCGAUGAAGAACGCAGCGAAAUGCGAUAAGUAAUGUGAAUUGCAGAAUUCAGUGAAUCAUCGAAUCUUUGAACGCACAUUGCGCCCAUUAGUAUUCUAGUGGGCAUGCCUAUUCGAGCGUCAUUUCGACCCUUAAGCCCCAGUUGCUUAGCGUUGGGAGUCUGCGGCCCAGGCCGCAGUUCCUCAAAGUCAGUGGCGGAGUUGUAGCACACUCUAAGCGUAGUAGUUUUCCAUUGCCUCGCUUGCAGAGCGGCCUCAGCUGCCAGCCGUAAAGCCCUAUACUUAGUGGUUGACCUCGGAUUAGGUAGGAAUACCCGCUGAACUUAAGCAUAUCAAUAAGCGGAGGA
rnacentral:rRNA from 1 species